GCACCUUGCAGCUGGGACUUGCACUAUAAUUAUGUGUAUCACUUCACAGGCUUUCAUUGCCUUGUGAAUUUUUUGGAGUUCUUAAUGGCCAUGAAUGAGUCUAUGCUUUUAGGUGCUAACUCAGAGGAGCAGAUGCAACACGACCAAGAGCAAAGGAAUAACAUGUGACAGAUGCUGAAUGAGUACCCUCCUUGCCCGCUGCACUCCAAUCUCAUGCCAGUGCCAUGGCAUUCGUGUGCCCGAUUACAGCAGCUACCAAGUAGCUAUAGACAGUACCUUCACAGCAUCAUUGUUACUUUUUUUCUUCUUAUUUUAGCAUAUGUCUUAAGCAAUGUGUGUGAUCAAUGCUCACUAUCCAGGAAGCAUGUUCACUUUCAGUAUGAGAUUCACUUGUGUGGGCUUUCCACUUCAUUUUUCUUUAUGGCCGGUUCUGAUCAGUAGCAGUUCUAGUCAACAGGUGAUUUUGAUGGACAAAUUAGGAUACUAAUUUGUAUGUUUGUUUCUCUUUUUUCUAUGUGUUAAGUGAAGCAAUGUGUCCACUCAGUGCUUAUAAUUUAGGAAAUACUUUGUUUCUUGAUAAGAGGUUCAUUUCUGGGAGCUCUUAGCUUCGUCUUUCGCUUCGGAGCUCAUUAUUCAAAAAGCACAUUCAUUCUCUCCAUAUAGAUUUAAUCCUCGGGUUAAUUCUUACUCUUUUAGACUUUGUUGUUAUUGAUGUUCAGUAGUUCCCUCAGCAGUUUUUCAACACACAUUUUACUCAUGUUGAUUAGUGUGCUUAGUGGUGGUUGCCGUUAAGCAUUUCUAAAAUUGAGUCUUGAUGAUCCCAUCUGCUUUUUUAGUUACUUGCAUUGCAAUUUUUGUGUUGCUGUUGGACAUUUUCAGUUGUUUUGCAGAGUACUAACACUAUUGUGAUGUGUCUCAGUUGAUUAAGUACACAUUUAAUUACAUUUGCCUUGUAUUCUUCUUAGCCUGAAAAGUGUUCGGUGCUGUAUAGUAGUUUUCUUAGUAAUUUCAUUUGCAAAUUUCAUGUUGACGUCAUGUUUUAUGUACAAAAAGUGACGUGGUGACCUAAUAAGUAGCAUGGCCGCUUGUGUUGUUUGAGCUGCACCUGUUUAUUUUUUUUCAUCACGUUUAUGCAAUGACAGCUUGAACCAGCAUUUUUAGUCAUUUUAUGUGGGUUUUGUAACAAUAUUGGCAAACUAUUUUGCACUGCUGUUAGUCUACUGUGCUCAAAUAUUUUGAUGUUGUGUUGCAAUAAAAUAUUUUAACAAGA